GGAUGUUGGAGUCAACAUCUGCCACCCCAUUGAUCACCAGAGUUGAUUUGGCUGAUCUGGCUGGUUAUGUGGGUGUCCCCUUCCUCCCUCACCACUCAAUGUGCAUUCCUCCCAAAGCUGCCCGCUCAGUCAAAGAAGACAACUUUUACCGAUAGUAGACUUGUAGGAGGGUACACAG
rnacentral:snRNA from 1 species